UAGUAGGUGAGGUAACGGCUCACCUAGGCGACGAUACAUAGCCGACCUGAGAGGGUGAUCGGCCACACUGGGACUGAGACACGGCCCAGACUCCUACGGGAGGCAGCAGUAGGGAAUCUUCGGCAAUGGGGGGAACCCUGACCGAGCAACGCCGCGUGAGUGAAGAAGGUUUUCGGAUCGUAAAGCUCUGUUGUUAAGGAAGAACGAGUGUGAGAAUGGAAAGUUCAUACUGUGACGGUACUUAACCAGAAAGGGACGGCUAACUACGUGCCAGCAGCCGCGGUAAUACGUAGGUCCCGAGCGUUGUCCGGAUUUAUUGGGCGUAAAGCGAGCGCAGGCGGUUAGAUAAGUCUGAAGUUAAAGGCAGUGGCUCAACCAUUGUAGGCUUUGGAAACUGUUUAACUUGAGUGCAGAAGGGGAGAGUGGAAUUCCAUGUGUAGCGGUGAAAUGCGUAGAUAUAUGGAGGAACACCGGUGGCGAAAGCGGCUCUCUGGUCUGUAACUGACGCUGAGGCUCGAAAGCGUGGGGAGCGAACAGGAUUAGAUACCCUGGUAGUCCACGCCGUAAACGAUGAGUGCUAGGUGUUAGGUCCUUUCCGGGACUUAGUGCCGCAGCUAACGCAUUAAGCACUCCGCCUGGGGAGUACGACCGCAAGGUGAAACUCAAAGGAAUUGACGGA
rnacentral:rRNA from 1 species